rnacentral:antisense_RNA from 1 species
AGUAUGAUCAGCUCGUCGAAAGAAUGAAUCAAUGACACUCUGUCUUCGUGGAGAGCAGCCUGGGUGUGGAAUCAGGCACCCCCGGGUUCAAAGCCAUCACUGGCGAACUCACAAAGAGUGGGACUCACCGACCUGAGGGUUUGCCAGCACACUCGUAGCCCGUGGGACUAGAGUAUUUGUGAGAGAGGAGCAUGGUCUUUUGAUUGAAGAACGGAAGUCAUUCGUGAAGGACACAGCACACACAGCCCAGAGAGCUCGCAGGUUAAAACUGGGCAUGGAGCAAUGUCUGCCAGCCAUUCAGGGGACUUCAAAAUAGCAAACACAGUAUCCACAAUCAAGUUAUUUAGACCUUUUAGAUUGUAUACAAAUGACACAGAAAAAUGUACAGCCAGUCCACUGGGUUGUAAUUUUAGAAACAAACAUCUCAAGUCAUAAUAACAAAGCAGAGUUUUAAAAA